CAUAACUGUCAUAUUUUUCCACGCUGUAUUGUUUUGCUCGUACAAAUUUGGUAGUUUUAAGUAAAUUUUCGCGAUCUCGAGUGCCGGAAAAGCUCGAAAAAACAAGAUGAAGUGCUUAACUUUCCGGAACAUGUGGAAGUUCUGUAGGAAAAACGGAUUAAAUGAUAUUUUGUAACAAAAUAAGUGCGGCUUUGUAUUACAAAGCCUUUGCAAUCAUCAAAAAUUGAAAUGUAAAAAUUUACGUGCCUUUUUUUUGCUGAUUCUAUGACUCGAGGACAGGACAGAUGAACGAUUUUUGGACCUACAAACGGAAAUUUAGUGACAAAAAGGCGUCAUUUUAAGUAGAACUUGUUUCGAAGAGAACAAAAAGCUGAUAUUCAAGUGAUAAAUGUGGGUUUUUUGACUUAAAAACUUUUAUUUUAUGUUAAUUGAAGCUUUUUGUGAUAAGUUUUUAAUAAAUUUGAAUAAAAACAAGGAAAA